rnacentral:rRNA from 1 species
UGUAGUCAUAUGCUUGUCUCAAAGAUUAAGCCAUGCAUGUCUAAGUAUAAGCAAUUUAUACAGUGAAACUGCGAAUGGCUCAUUAAAUCAGUUAUAGUUUAUUUGAUAGUACCUUACUACUUGGAUAACCGUGGUAAUUCUAGAGCUAAUACAUGCUAAAAACCCCGACUGCUCGGGAGGGGUGUAUUUAUUAGAUAAAAAAUCAAUGCCCUCGGGCUCUUUGAUGAUUCAUAAUAACUUGUCGAAUCGCAUGGCUUUACGCCGGCGAUGGUUCAUUCAAAUUUCUGCCCUAUCAACUGUCGAUGGUAGGAUAGUGGCCUACCAUGGUGGCAACGGGUAACGGGGAAUAAGGGUUCGAUUCCGGAGAGGGAGCCUGAGAAACGGCUACCACAUCCAAGGAAGGCAGCAGGCGCGCAAAUUACCCAAUCCUAAUUCAGGGAGGUAGUGACAAUAAAUAACGAUACAGGGCCCUUCUGGGUCUUGUAAUUGGAAUGAGUACAAUGUAAAUACCUUAACGAGGAACAAUUGGAGGGCAAGUCUGGUGCCAGCAGCCA